rnacentral:rRNA from 1 species
UACGUAGGGCGCAAGCGUUGUCCGGAAUUAUUGGGCGUAAAGAGCUCGUAGGCGGUCUGUUACGUCCGCUGUGAAAACCCAGGGCUUAACCCUGGGCUUGCAGUGGAUACGGGUAGACUAGAGGCAGGUAGGGGAGACUGGAAUUUACGGUGUAGCGGUGAAAUGCGUAGAUAUCGGGAGGAACACCAGUGGCGAAGGCGACUACCUGGCCUGUUCUUGACGCUGAGGCGCGAAAGCUAGGGGAGCAAACGGGG